AUUGCUUGGGCCGAGUUAAGUAAACGAUUGCUUCCAAUCACAUGUAUUUGGUCUCAUCAGGGAUUGCAUUACGACAAAUAGACUAAGAGACCUUUCCAAACUUCAUGUGUUAAGCAAAUCUUUCUUUUUCAAAAAAACGGCUUUUUAAGAGACUAGAAUAGAUAGAGACGGCCCAAUAACCUAGGAAGUAGGCUGUCGUGAUAGAACUUCAGUAGAUUCUAUCUUUAUUAGAAUAUUUUUAUUCAAUGUCAUGAUCGAAGACCAUCUUCUAUAUAUGAAAUAUAUGCGAGACUAAAGAUGACCCAAAAAACAAGAAAGUGGGGGGUGUGACCUUCCUUCAGUGACUAUCCAUUCAUCGACUGCCAAAAGAGAGAAGGCAGUCGCAUCACACUCUAUAUCUUACCUCGGGGCCCAGAGUCAUUUCCCUCGCCUUAAGAUUAAAAGCCCUUUAUAAUGU
rnacentral:misc_RNA from 1 species